rnacentral:rRNA from 1 species
UACAGAGGGUGCAAGCGUUGUUCGGAAUUAUUGGGCGUAAAGCGCGUGUAGGCGGCUUUGCAAGUCGGGUGUGAAAGCCCUCAGCUCAACUGAGGAAGUGCGCCCGAAACUGCAGAGCUUGAGUACCGGAGAGGAUGGCGGAAUUCCCCAAGUAGAGGUGAAAUUCGUAGAUAUGGGGAGGAACACCGGUGGCGAAGGCGGCCAUCUGGGCGGAUACUGACGCUGAGACGCGAAAGCGUGGGUAGCAAACAGG